rnacentral:tRNA from 2 species
UGCCGGGUGGUGUAGUGGUAACAUCCAUGUCACCCGUACAUGUGGGGUGGUGUGUGUCGCAGGUUCGAAUCCUGCCCCGGCAA